GGACAGGUGGGUGAGUGGUUAAUACCAACAGACUGUAAAUCUGUCGCCCCUUGGGGCUACGGAGGUUCGAAUCCUCCCCUGUCCACCA
rnacentral:tRNA from 1 species